AGGUUGGGAUGCGGACACUUGUGCAAUAAGUCCUUGUAUCUCACCCAUGCCUCAUAUUAUGAUUCACCCUCAAAUUGGGUGAAGGUAGUAAUAUCAUUCCUUAACUU